rnacentral:rRNA from 1 species
AGUGAACGCUGGCGGCGUGCCUAAUACAUGCAAGUCGAACGGAGUUGCGCACGGGUGAGUAAUAUAUAGCUAAUCUGCCCCUUGCUGGAGGACAACAGUUAGAAAUGACUGCUAAUACUCCAUAGGAAGGGAUGAGACUAUAUCGUAUCAGCUGGUCGGUGGGGUAACGGCCUACCGAGGCUAUGACGCGUAACUGGUUUGAGAGGAUGAUCAGACACAUUGGAACUGAGAAACAGUCGAGACUCCUACGGGAGGCAGCAGAAGGGGAUAUAGCACAAUGGGGGGAGCCAUGACGCAGCAACGCCGCGUGAAGGAUGACACUUGACGAAGCGUAAAGUCGGUUUGUUAGGGAAGCGGUACCUAACGAAUAAGCACCGGCUAACUCCGUGCCAGCCGCCGCGGUAAUUC